AAACACAAAAGACACACAAACUACACAGCUUUUGCAUCAGCCAGUAUGCCUAAGCUGGACAAUACAUAUAAAGGAUUCAUUUCCAUUUAGUCAGUGAUAAGGUAACAGGUGGAGAUAGAGGACUAUCUUCCCACCCGAGCACCACUCUAUGUGAAUAGCCUGUUGUUCUACUUCCUUACUGACAUAUAGUGUUGCAUUAGAAAAGAGCAUUUUCUUCAAAUCUGCAUUUCAAAGACUUUUAUGUACAUUAAUUCAAUAUUUAAUUCAAGAAAUAAACAUAAAAGUAACAAAUGUACUUCCACCAGGAAGAGGCUCCUGCUCGUUUAGAUGACUUAAUGGCUCUGGGCCAUUAGCAAUAGCAUGUCUCUGUAAUAACAGUUGCCUAACUGACUUGGUUAUUUAGUAACCCAAACACAAAUACUGCCGUAUCAUAUCAGCAAAGUAAUUUAUUGGGCAGUGAGUUGAGUGCUUUGAGGAAGAGAAAGGUACACAAUCAAAAGCUGUUUUAUUCCCCUUCCUGGAAUCCAUGAACUUGGCUACGGAAAAUGAGGCUGAAGAACUGGAGCAGGCAACCAUGGCGAUCUUUAUCACUGGGAAAGAGGAUCCUUUCCAUCCACCCAAAGACAUUAAGAUAGUCAUCGAAGGAAGAGAGGUCCUGAACGAGUUGCCCUCGGUUGCAACAGCUUUUGCCAUGUUCUCCGGGCUCAUAUACACACUCAACCUAAAACAUCCAAAAAAACUGCAAUACACCUUUGAAUUUGUGCCUAUCCUGAUGGAACUUGAUGGAAAAAAGAUGACCCUAAAAGUUAGUAGACUGAGCACACACUUGCACUGACUUGCUUGAUUCUGUUUUCCCAUUGGUGCUCACAUUUUAUUGUGUUUCUACAACCAACAAUUUGGACCCUUUAUAAGAGGCUGGUGUUUGGAGGUUGCACUUCCAUGACUGCAUUUUCACUGCUGUUUUUGCAAACAUGUAUGCCCAACAUCAAUAGUCUUGUCUCUGGUGUCCAUCUUUUAUAAAUUUGAAAUUUAUAAGAUGUGCAAUAUUGUUAUAAUAACAUGUAAUUCUAUUUUAGGGUGUUAAGAGGAAAUGUGUUUUGUCAGAAAAACUAACCUAAUUAAGUGUUACUACUAAUUUGUGAUGUCAUCACGUCACAGUUUGAAUUAAUCACUCAUUCAUUCAUUCACAAAUUUGUGGGCUCAAAGAAUUUAUCCAUUACAUCCAAAUAAGUUGUAUUUAAAGAUUAACUAAACACAUGGUUCUUUUGCUGCCUUUUUAAAAAAAAAAGUUGAACCAACUGAGGCCUCUGUGACAUUCACAGUCUGGCGAUAUUCUAUAUUUUUGUUAUUGUCUACAAAUCCCAUGAAAAGACCAAAACCAACAAUUUGUCUCAAUAUUUUCCAACCUCUCCAGCCUGUCUGUAGCUCUCAGCCACAAGCCCAUUGGUUCCUUCUGAAGAUGUAAAUCUUAAAAUAUAUAAAUAAAUAAAAAGGCUAAAUAAUUUAUUGUGAAUUUGUUGGGGACUAUUUUUAGCAGCAGAUGAAUCCACUUUCACAAGACUUAUCCUUAAACAGUCUUAGUCUUAGCAUCAUUGAUAUGUGAUUCUAUGCAGUGUACCCUGUGGGAACUCAAGUUCAUACUGUACAAUUUAAAACUCUGAUCUUGGUAUACAGUCUUUAACACCUAAAAUCAGACUCUAUGAAAUUAAAGGUUAAAUAAACAGUUAAUAAUAGUAAUAAUUAUCUUCCCUCUAACAGUUGUUAUUGACUGACUUCCACUACUUGUCCAAAAUACAACAGAUAUUUAAAAUCUAGGCGCAAUCAUAUGUAAAUACGAAACAUAUUAUAUCUGAAAUGCUGAUGAUGAUGCGUUGAAACAGAAAAAUUCCAGGUAGACUUUCACUGCAAACUCAAAAAACUCAACUCUGCUUGUCCCAUUUCUGUCAGUGGAAGCACAUGCAGACAGUGCCCCCAUGUGGUCAUGGUGGUGACAUAAUUGUAUGCCGUUGCUUGGAUGGUCUUUUACACCAUUAAAUGGCACAUAGUAAUUGAGAAAAUUAAAGAAAAAUUAUUGACCUGAAAUAUGCCUCUCAGGCUGAGCUUACCCCUGUGUACCAUUCCAACAAGCUCCAUCAAUCAAAUGUUUGUAUUUUGGUUGGAGCUGGUAGGUUUAGGGCCAUGUUUGGGGUUGGGAUCUAAGUUUAGGAGGUGGGAGAUGUGUGCAGCCAGAGAGGAAGUUGUGCCUGAGAGGCUCAGCAGAGGGCAAACAAUUUCCCCCUUGGAAAAACCUGUUCUGCCAGAAUCCUUCUUCCCUACUCUCUCAGGGUGUGUCAUUCAAUCAAUACAACAGUCCUCUGGUUUGACUCUUCUGUACAGACAUUAUUUUCAAACUAACUUAUUUAGGUGACUCCUUUUUUGGUUUCAGGCCCCAAUUGGACAUAAUGUGCGAGGUGAGGUCAGAUGUACAUGAGAGGUAUUUUACAUAAUGUGCUGGUAAAUGUAAAUCAUGGAGUUAAUUUGCAAUGCAGUGAACAUCAUGCAAAGGGAGUUCUUUUCUGGAUUUUUUUUUUUUUUUUAAGUUUAAGAAUGGUGCCUUAAGUGGAAAAAGAAGAUUGGAAAUUGUAAUAAAGUGUCAUCAUAGGUGGCUUAAAAGAGCAAAUGAUUUUUACCUCCUGCUAAAUUACAUUUUUUCUAGCCAGUGCCAUACAAAAACAAACAUUUUUACUUGCUUUUAAUACGCGGAAGGAGUUGAGACGAUCCUGCAUAAAGUUCAGUUUGAUUUAAACAUAUCAGGACUAUGUUUUUUCAGUCUGUUUCAAUGUGAACAUAAGUGCAGGCUUGUAUUUUUUAAAUGUAAAUUCAAGAUUGCAAAUAUUUACUAUUUUACUGGACCAAGUAGACACUCUGUACUUAGUACUCAAAGUAAUAUGGAGUCAUUUCUCUAUAAAAAGACUAAAAACACAUACAGGAGUCAAUGUGACUUUAACACAAUAGUCAGGUGCCCAUAUGAACACUGAAACAGGUUUUGCUGCAAUCAUUCCUCCUAUUCAUACUGGCUGUAAAGAGAUCGCUUCCUCAUGCUUUUCCAGUGUAUGAUGGGGGACAAAUCCACUGGAUUUGAUUAACUCAGCCUGCUGAAGCCUCAUUAACUUCAGAUAAACUUUUGAAUACAUUUUUGCACAGGAUUUUGUCCCCAAGCUCUUACACUGAAAGUACAUUAAACAUCUCUUAAUGGCCAGUAUGAACAGGAGCAUUACCUCUUCAGUGUUCAUGUGGGCACCUGACUAUUGUUUUAAGACAGACUUGAAAUUUGAUCCUAUCCUGUUUUUC